AGCGAACGCUGGCGGCAGGCUUAACACAUGCAAGUCGAACGCCCCGCAAGGGGAGUGGCAGACGGGUGAGUAACACGUGGGAACGUACCCUUUGGUUCGGAAUAACUUGGGGAAACUCAAGCUAAUACCGGAUAAGCCCUUAUGGGGAAAGGUUUACUGCCGAAGGAUCGGCCCGCGUCUGAUUAGCUAGUUGGUGAGGUAAUGGCUCACCAAGGCGACGAUCAGUAGCUGGUCUGAGAGGAUGAUCAGCCACACUGGGACUGAGACACGGCCCAGACUCCUACGGGAGGCAGCAGUGGGGAAUAUUGGACAAUGGGGGCAACCCUGAUCCAGCCAUGCCGCGUGAGUGAUGAAGGCCUUAGGGUUGUAAAGCUCUUUUACCCGGGACGAUAAUGACUGUACCGGGAGAAUAAGCCCCGGCUAACUUCGUGCCAGCCGCCGCGGUAA
rnacentral:rRNA from 1 species